CAAUAGCGUAUAUUAACGUUGUUGCAGUUAAAAAGCUCGUAGUUGGAUUUCUGGUGGGCGCGCCGGUCUUCCAAGUGUUGUACUGGGCGCAGUCCGCCAUCCUUGUGGAGAGGGCUCGCAUUGAGUUGCGUGUCGGAUCUGCAUCAUUUACUGUGAAAAAAUUAGAGUGUUUAAAGCAGGCUGUCGCUUGAAUACAUUAGCAUGGAAUAAUAAGAUAGGACUUCGGUCUAUUUUGUUGGUUGCGAACCGAGGUAAUGAUUAAUAGGGAUAGUUGGGGGUAUUCAUAUUUAAUUGUCAGAGGUGAAAUUCUUGGAUUUAUGAAAGAUGAACAACUGCGAAAGCAUUUACCAAGGAUGUUUUCAUUAA
rnacentral:rRNA from 1 species